UACAGAGGGUGCAAGCGUUGUUCGGAAUUAUUGGGCGUAAAGGGCGCGUAGGCGGUUCGGCAAGUCUCUAGUGAAAUCUCUGGGCUCAACUCAGAGUCUGCUGGGGAAACUGCCGGGCUUGAGUGUGGGAGAGGAGAGUGGAAUUCCCGGUGUAGCGGUGAAAUGCGUAGAUAUCGGGAUGAACACCUGUGGCGAAAGCGGCUCUCUGGACCACAACUGACGCUGAGGCGCGAAAGCUAGGGGAGCAAACAGG
rnacentral:rRNA from 1 species